rnacentral:rRNA from 1 species
GACGUAGGGUGCGAGCGUUGUCCGGAUUUAUUGGGCGUAAAGAGCUCGUAGGCGGCUUGUCGCGUCGACCGUGAAAACUUGGGGCUCAACCCCAAGCCUGCGGUCGAUACGGGCAGGCUAGAGUUCGGUAGGGGAGACUGGAAUUCCUGGUGUAGCGGUGAAAUGCGCAGAUAUCGAGAGGAACACCUGCGGCGAAGGCGGGUAGCUGGGCCGACACUGACGCUGAUGCGCGAAAGCCAGGGGAGCGAACGGG